UGCGUAGCCGGCCUAGAAAGUCUCUGGUGAAAUCUGGCAUCUCAACUGUCAGGCGUGCCAAAGAUACUUCAAGGCUAGAAGCCGGGAAGGGUUGGAAGAAUUCCUAGGGUANGAGUAAAAUCCUGUGAUCCUUGGAGGACCAUCGGUGGCGAAGGCGUCCAACUGGAACGGGCUCGACGGUGAGGUACGAAAGCUAGGGGAGCAACCCGGAUUAGAUACCCGGUUAGUCCUAGCCGUAAAUGAUGCUGGUUUGGUGUGACACAACCCACGCGGUUGUGUUGUGCCGUAGGGAAGCCGUAAAGCC
rnacentral:rRNA from 1 species